GACGAACGCUGGCGGCGUGCUUAACACAUGCAAGUCGAACGGAAAGGCCCUGCUUUUGUGGGGUGCUCGAGUGGCGAACGGGUGAGUAACACGUGAGUAGCCUGCCCUUGACUUUGGGAUAACUUCAGGAAACUGGGGCUAAUACCGGAUAGGAGCUCCUUCUGCAUGGUGGGGGUUGGAAAGUUUCGGCGGUUGGGGAUUGACUCGCGGCUUAUCAGCUUGUUGGUGGGGUAGUGGCUUCCCAGGGCUUUGCCGGGACGGCGGCCUGAGGGGGUGACCGGCCACAUUGGGACUGAGGUACGGACCAGACUCCUACGGGAGGCAGCAGUGGGGAAUAUUGCACAAUGGGCGGAAGCCUGAUGCAGCAACGCCGCGUGCGGGAUGACGGCCUUCGGGUUGUAAACCGCUUUCGCCUGUGACGAAGCGUGAGUGACGGUAAUGGGUAAAGAAGCACCGGCUAACUACGUG
rnacentral:rRNA from 1 species